ACCAGACUCCUACGGGAGGCAGCAGUGGGGGAUAUUGCACAAUGGGGGGAACCCUGAUGCAGCGACGCCGCGUGGGUGAAGAAGCGCCUCGGCGCGUAAAGCCCUGUCAGCAGGGAAGAAAAUGACGGUACCUGAAGAAGAAGCCCCGGCUAACUACGUGCCAGCAGCCGCGGUAAUACGUAGGGGGCAAGCGUUAUCCGGAUUUACUGGGUGUAAAGGGGGCGCAGACGGCGAUGCAAGCCAGGAGUGAAAGCCCGGGGCCCAACCCCGGGACUGCUCUUGGAACUGCGUGGCUGGAGUGCAGGAGGGGCAGGCGGAAUUCCUGAUGUAGCGGUGAAAUGCGUAGAUAUCAGGAGGAACACCGGUGGCGAAGGCGGCCUGCUGGACUGCAACUGACGUUGAGGCCCGAAAGCGUGGGGAGCAAACAGGAUUAGAUACCCCCGUA
rnacentral:rRNA from 1 species